GAAAAAAUACAGUCAGAUUGGCCUGUUAAUGUGCCUUUCGAGACCUUAUAAACUGUCUAGAGUAGACAGACAACUGAUCCAAAUGGAAUGAAACAUUCAAACCACAAAGCUUUUGUGCAAUUAUUCAAAUGACAUUUUCACAGCAGCCAAGAGUAGAAUUUUGCCAGUCUAGGUAAGAUAAUGAUAUUGUCCCUUAACAAGAUCAAUAGGGUAGCUUUUUGAGCUGCUUGUCUCAUGUCUUCUUCCUUCAUGCUCAAUGAGGCACCUGGCCUCUCCUCUUUGUUCUUAUGGAUUCAAAUGAAUGCUUUUAUGUGUGCCAUGAUUGCUAUAGCCUAUUGCAGACCUGGACAAAUUAACCACCUACCACUAUUGUCACAAUGAAAGGUGGAGAGAGGGCUGGAUGGACUGGUAGAAUAUAUUGACCUGUGGUAUAGUAAAAGUUAGCACAGAUUAAAGCGCAGUGCAUAAGGAAAGUACCAAAACACAUUUAUAUAAGGGAAGGUAGAUGCAAGCAGAUGAGGACAUUUUCUAGGAUGGAAUAAACGAUAUAGUAAAACCUGCAAAAGAGCGAACGUGAACCAGAGAAAAGAGCACUACCCCCCCAAUCUGAGGGCCAGAUUGUCCAGGCUCUAUGGCCAUUGGGCCUUGUUGGGUGAGCUCAACUCCAUAGUUCACACCUGUGCAAAAUAAAAUGAUUGAUGAAGGUCCAAAGUAACCCAGCAUUAAUAAUUAAUUGGUCUUUUGAAAUAAUCAUAAUAAUAAAUGUAUGUGUAUUUUUAUUCACCCAAGAGGGACUCACAGGAUGCAGCUGCCAAAAGCAGCAGAGAUGCAGGUAACAUGGCUUGUGUUGAAGCUCAACUGGUGGAAGCUGCUCUUGUCUACUAAAAACAGAUUGUGUAUGGUUGUUAUAAGCUGCACCAAGCUGUAUUACUGACUGAAAUUCAAUACAAAAUGUUGUUAAUUAACUGAGUUGAUGUUAUCAAUAAACAAAUCCCCAUAAAAAUUCAUCAGUUUAAACUAGAGAUAUCUGACAGGGAUCAUCAACUAGAUUGAGCCAAGGUCUGCUUUUUCUUGAGCAGAUGGUCAGGGGCUGGAACAUAAUUACAAAUCAUUUGUAGACUGCAAAUUGACCUCAAGAAGCCCAAACAGACAUAAUAUUUGGCUACAUUUGACUACAUUACACUUGUAUACGAUCAAAUACAGUAUAUAUCUCUAUUAUGCUUGGGAAUACUUUGGAGAAGAUGUUCAAAAUUAAAAUGACUUGGAGCUGAUUUGUGUUUCUUUUUACAGUCUUUCAUGUUCAGAAAAAUACAAUUCGUAAUUUUUAAAAUAGUUUUCUAUCUUUUUUUGCUCAGAAAAUAUGGGGGGACAAAUAUAAUCACCUGCAAUUCAUCCUGAGGACAGCCAGUUGAGGAACCCUGCUGUAUAUAUAGACCUGAGCCCUAGGACCAUGCCCCAGGACUACCUGACAUGAUGACUCCUUGCUGUCCCCAGUCCACCUGGCCGUGCUGCUGCUCCAGUUUCAACUGUUCUGCCUUAUUAUUAUUAUUCGACCAUGCUGGUCAUUUAUGAACAUUUUAACAUCUUGGCCAUGUUCUGUUAUAAUCUCCACCCGGCACAGCCAGAAGAGGACUGGCCACCCCACAUAGCCUGGUUCCUCUCUAGGUUUCCUCCUAGGUUUUGGCCUUUGUAGGGAGUUUUUCCUAGCCACCGUGCUUCUACACCUGCAUUGCUUGCUGUUUGGGGUUUUAGGCUGGGUUUCUGUACAGCACUUUGAGAUAUCAGCUGAUGUACGAAGGGCAAUAUGAAUACAUUUGAUUUGAAAUUUGAUUAUUAUAAGUAGUGGUAGUAUUACCAUUUCCACCCACCCCUAUGUUUUAGUUAUCUGUUCUUAAUAAGAACAUAACACACUAUGUUAACUGAACACUUGUACUGUUCUAGUGAACAUAACACAUGCCCACUUGCUGUGUAUGGACAACUCCAUGACUACUAAACACCAGACAGUCAUCCAUUCCAUUGUUUAGUGAUAGUCAGGUUAGUGCAGGGCCAUAUAUCGUAAGAUUUUGAGUGAAAACCUCCUUCCAUCAGCAAGGGCAUUGAAGAUGAAACGUGGCUGGGUCUUUCAGCAUGACAAUGAUCCCAAACACAACGAAGGAGUGGCUUCGUAAGAAGCAUUUCAAGGUCCUGGAGUGGCCUAGCCAGUCUCCAGAUCUCAACCCCAUAGAAAAUCUUUGGAGAGAGUUGAAAGUCCGUGUUGCCUAGCAACAGCCCCAAAACAUCACUGCUCUAGAGGAGAUCUGCAUGAAGGAAUGGGCCAAAAUACCAGCAACAGUGUGUGAAAACCUUGUGAAGACUUACAGAAAACGUUUGACCUCUGUCAUUGCCAACAAAGGGUAUAUAACAAAGUAUUGAGAUAAACUUUUGUUAUUGACCAAAUACUUAUUUUCCACCAUAAUUUGCAAAUAAAUUAAUAAAAAAAUCCUACAAUGUGAUUUUCUGGAUUUCUUUUCUAAUUUUGUCUGUCAUAGUUGAAGUGUACCUAUGAUGCAAAUUACAGGCCUCUCUCAUCUUUUUAAGUGGUAGAACUUGCACAAUUGGUGGCUGACUAAAUACUUUUUUG
ensembl:lncRNA